CGGACGCGCAUGUCUUGCCGCCGUAUUAUUAUUGUUAAAAAUAAUAUUGUUCUAGUGUAAAGUAAAUGUGUAAUACUAAAAGUGCCCAGCAGUAGAUUUAUUGUGCGACGUGUAUGUGAAAACGUCAAAGGAAUUGUUUUCAUUACGAGAAGCGCCAGUCAAAACGGCAUCCAUGUUAAAUCCUUCAUUGCAGUAUCUUGGAAAGGCGCUGCACAGCCAUACCGAUUUAUACUUACAGGCAUGAAUUGGUACACUUGAAAGAGACAUUCACUAAGAAUGGAUAUACAAAAUAUCAAAUUGAGAGAGAUCAACAAGGGAAAAUGCCACACCAACCAAAAGAAGAGCAAGACCAACACCAAUUUCAAGACUCAGCACAGCACACAGUUUUAAUCUGCCAUUAUCCAUAAAGAGAGAUAAGGACCAGGAUGCUGAAAUAUAUCUUUUGAAUUAGUACAUUCUUCAUGAAUGAUGCCUUCAAAUUUUUGACACACACUUCAGAAUUCUCAUGAAGUGUUUGGAAU